GUGAGGAAUAUUGCGCAAUGGGGGAAACCCUGACGCAGCAACGCCGCGUGGGUGAAGAAGGCUCUCGGGUUGUAAAGCCCUGUCAGGUGGGAAGAACCCUCUGAAAGUGAAUAGCUUUCAGAACUGACGGUACCACCAAAGGAAGCACCGGCUAACUCCGUGCCAGCAGCCGCGGUAAGACGGAGGGUGCAAGCGUUGUUCGGAAUUACUGGGCGUAAAGCGCGUGUAGGCGGUCUGAUAAGUCGAGUGUGAAAGCCCGGGGCUCAACCUCGGAAGUGCAUUCGAAACUGUCAAGCUUGAGUACGGGAGAGGGAAGUGGAAUUCCUGGUGUAGAGGUGAAAUUCGUAGAUAUCAGGAGGAACACCGGUGGCGAAGGCGGCUUCCUGGACCGAUACUGACGCUGAGACGCGAAAGCGUGGGGAGCAAACAGGAUUAGAUACCCGGGUAGUCC
rnacentral:rRNA from 1 species